rnacentral:rRNA from 1 species
GACGAACGCUGGCGGCGUGCUUAACACAUGCAAGUCGAACGGAAAGGCCCUGCUUUUGUGGGGUGCUUGAUUGGCGAACGGGUGAGUAACACGUGAGUAACCUGCCCUUGACUUUGGGGUAACUUCAGGAGACUGGGGCUAAUACCGGAUAGGAGCUCCUGCUGCAUGGUGUGGGUUGGAAAGUUUCGGCGGUUGGGGCUGGACUCGCGGCUUAUCAGCUUGUUGGUGGGGUAGUGGCUUACCAAGGCUUUGAAGGGUAGCCGGCCUGGGAGGGUGACCGGCCACAUUGGGACUGAGAUACGGCCCAGACUCCUACGGGAGGCAGCAGUGGGGAAUAUUGCACAAUGGGCGGAAGCCUGAUGCAGCAACGCCGCGUGCGGGAUGACGGCCUUCGGGGUGUAAACCGCUUUCGCCUGUGACGAAGCGUGAGUGACGGUAAUGGGUAAAGAAGCACCGGCUAACUACGUG